rnacentral:ncRNA from 1 species
UAAAGAUGCAGGAGGUGCAAGCCUCGCUGUAAACCCGCUCCACCGAACGUGAGUUUAAGCGAUGUGUGCCAUCGUCGGCAGCGGGGGCCGCGUAAGCGGCUUUUUUUAUGC